AGUGAACGCUGGCGGCAGGCCUAACACAUGCAAGUCGAACGGCAGCACAGGAGAGCUUGCUCUCUGGGUGGCGGACGGGUGAGGAAUAUAUCGGAAUCUACCCUUUCGUGGGGGAUAACGUAGGGAAACUUACGCUAAUACCGCAUACGAACUGAGGUUGAAAGCGGCGGACCGCAAGGCGUCGCGCGGAUGGAUGAGCCGAUAUCCGAUUAGCUAGUUGGCGGGGUAAAGGCCCACCAAGGCGACGAUCGGUAGCUGGUCUGAGAGGAUGAUCAGCCACACUGGAACUGAGACACGGUCCAGACUCCUACGGGAGGCAGCAGUGGGGAAUAUUGGACAAUGGGCGCAAGCCUGAUCCAGCCAUGCCGCGUGUGUGAAGAAGGCCUUCGGGUUGUAAAGCACUUUUGUUGGGAAAGAAAAGCGGUCGGUUAAUACCCGGUCGUUCUGACGGUACCCAAAGAAUAAGCACCGGCUAACUUCGUGCCAGCCGCCGCAGUAAAAC
rnacentral:rRNA from 1 species